AAACUUCACACUGCGCGAAAGCGCGAUGAGGGAAUCCCAAGUGCUUGCACGUAAGUGUAAGCUGUUUCUUUGUUUAAAACGCAUAGAGAGUAAGGGCUGGGUAAGACGGGUGCCAGCCGCCGCGGUAAUACCUGCAGCUCGAGUGGUGAUCGUUAUUAUUGGGCCUAAAACGUCCGUAGCCGGUUUAGUAAAUGCCUGGGUAAAUCGUGCCGCUCAACGGUACGACUUCCGGGUAGACUGCUAAACUUGGGACCGGGAGAGGCUAGAGGUACUCCUGGGGUAGAGGUGAAAUUCUGUAAUCCUAGGGGGACCACCAGUGGCGAAGGCGUCUAGCUAGAACGGGUCUGACGGUGAGGGACGAAGCCCUGGGGCGCGAACCGGAUUAGAUACCCGGGUAGUCCAGGGUGUAAACGCUGCUUGCUUGAUGUUAAUCGGGCUCCGAGCCCGAUUAGUGUCGGAGAGAAGUUGUUAAGCAAGCUGCCUGGAAGUACGUCGCAAGACU
rnacentral:rRNA from 1 species